rnacentral:lncRNA from 1 species
AACUGAAAUCAUCAUUAGUAUGGAUUCAUUUUUUGCUAGUUUAUACAUUACUAGUCUCAAGAAUGUAAGGAUCAACAUUCAUCCUAUUUAAUGAUUGUCUUUUAUUAUCAUCGAGCUAAAUAGUCCCAUUAUUAUCAAAUGAUUCAUCAUCUUGGUACACCUCAUCAUCCGCAUCUAGCAUUUUGUCGGUAUCUGCAGUUAUUUUUUUGGACC